GGGGAAUAUUGCACAAUGGGCGAAAGCCUGAUGCAGCGACGCCGCGUGAGGGAUGACGGCCUUCGGGUUGUAAACCUCUUUCGCUCAUGGUCAAGCCGCAACACUUGGUUGUGGUGAGGGUAGUGGGUAAAGAAGCGCCGGCUAACUACGUGCCAGCAGCCGCGGUAAUACGUAGGGCGCGAGCGUUGUCCGGAAUUAUUGGGCGUAAAGGGCUUGUAGGCGGUUGGUCGCGUCUGCCGUGAAAUCCUCUGACUUAACUGGGGGCGUGCGGUGGGUACGGGCUGACUUGAGUGCGGUAGGGGAGACUGGAACUCCUGGUGUAGCGGUGGAAUGCGCAGAUAUCAGGAAGAACACCGGUGGCGAAGGCGGGUCUCUGGGCCGUUACUGACGCUGAGGAGCGAAAGCGUGGGGAGCGAAC
rnacentral:rRNA from 1 species